rnacentral:tRNA from 1 species
GUCUCGGUAGCGUAAGAGAUAAGAGCACGGUUCCCGAAAGGAUAAGUGCGGGUUCGAGUCCCGCUCGAGACU